UGCGGGCGGAUCUGGGCGGGCGCGGCGGCACUGGUCGCCCCUUCACUGGUUCAUUUCGACGUCCAUCAAGCACAAAGGGGCAGAACACGGAGCUUGGGACAAUUCUGAUUCGGCCUGAACUGGAGUACGCCACUUAUGACGCGCGCGGCCUCGAUUAUGUAAAGCGCAGUCACGCGGGGGCGCCACUAGGAGGCUCUGCUAUUCCCUGAGACACAGGAAACAAUAUUGGAACGAGGCCAAUUUAUAACCCUACAAUGGCCUCUAAGUGUCCAAGUGAAAGGAAGAGCCAAAUGUCUCUCGCUUUAAAUCAAAAGCUAGAAAUGAUUGAGCUCAGUGAGGAAGGCUUGCCAACAGCUGAGAUGGGCCGAAAGCUAGGCCUGUUGUGCCAGUUAGCCAAGUCGUGAAUGCAAAGGAAAAGUUGUUGAAGGAAAUUGAAAAGUGCUACUCCAGUGAGCACAUGAAUAAUAAGAAGGCAAAAUAGCCUUAUUGCGGAUAUGGAGAAAGUUUGAGUGGUCUGGAGAGGAGAUCAAACCCGCCGCGACAUUCCCUUAAGCCAGAGCCUAAUCCAGAUCAAGGCCCUGGCUCUCUUCAUUUCUAUGAAGGCUGAGAGAGGGGAGGAAGCUGCAGAAGGAAAGUCUGAAGCUGGUAAAGGUUGGUUUAUGAGGUUUAGGGAAAGACGCCAUCUCCAUAGCAUUGAAGUGCAAGGUGAGGCAGCAAGUGCUGAUGUAGAAGCUGCAGCAAGCCUUCCAGAAGAUCUAGCUAUGGUAACUGAUGAAGGUGGCUCCGCUGAACGACAGAUUUUCAACGUAGAUGAAACAGCCUCCUAUUGGAAGAAGAUGGCAUCUAGGACUUUCAUAGCUAGAGAGGAAAAGUCAAUGAUCAGCUUUGAAGCUUCAAAGGACAGGCGGACUCUCUUGUUAGGGGCUAAUGCAGCUGGUGACUUGAAGUUGAAGCCAAUGCUCAUUUUUGUUCCAAAAAUCCUUAAAAACUAUGCCAAAUCUACUCUGCCUGUGCUCUAUAAAUGGAAAAACAAAGCCUGGAUGAAAGCACGUAAGUUUACAAUGUGGUUUACUGAAUAUAGAUUUUUUAAUGUUUAUUUUUUAGAGAGAGAGAAAGCGAGCGAGUGACCACAAGUGGGGGAGGGGCAGAAAGAGAGGGAGACAGGGGAUCCGAAGUGGGCUCUGUGCUGACAGCAGUGAGCCCGAUGUAGGGCUCGAGCCCAUAAGAACCCACAAACUAGGAGAUCAGGACCUAAGCCAAAUUUGGACACUCAACUGACUGAGCCACCCAGCCACCCCUGUUUACUGAAUAUGUUAAGCCCACUGUUGAGACCUACUACUCAGAAAAAAGAUUCCUUUCAAAAUAUUACUGCUCAUUGACAAUGUACCUGGUCACCCAAGAGCUCUGAUGCAGAUAUACAAUGAGAUUCACGUUGUUUUGCUAAUACAUCAUCCGUGCUGAAGCCCAUGGAUCAAGGAGUAAUUUCAACUCUGAAGUGUUAUUAUUUAAGAAAUACAUUUCUCGAGGGGCGCCUGGGUGGCUCAGUUGGUUAGGCAUCCGACUUCAGCUCAGGUGAUGAUCUCACAGUUUGUGAGUUUGAGCCCUGUGUCGGGCUCUGUGCUGACAGCUCAGAGCCUGGAGCCUGCUUCGGAUUCUGUGUCUUCCUCUCUCUCUUUGCCCCUCCCCCACUCGUGCUCUGUUUCUCUCUCAAAAAUAAAUAAACUUAAAAACAUUUUUUUAUUAAAUUAAAAUUAAAUGAAUAAAUACAUUUUAUUUAAUUUAUAAAUACAUAAAUAAGUAAAAAUAAAUAAACAAAUAAACAAAUAAAUAAAAAUUAAAAAGACGUACAUUUCUUGGGGAACUUGGAUAGCUCAGUCGGUUAAGCCUCUGACCCUUGGUUUUGGCUCAUGUCACAAUCUCACAGUUGGUGGGUUUGAGCCCUGCUUUGGGCUCUGUGCUGUAGAGCCUUGCUUGGGAUCCUCUCUCUCCCUCUCUCUCAGCCUCUCUGUCUUGACCUCUCUCUCUCUC